GGUAAAAAAGCUCGUAGUUGGAUUUCUACCGAAGAUAGCCGGUCGGGUCUUCGACCUUGUAUCUGGUUUUGUCUUUGGUAUCCUCAUAGGGAACGUUGCUGCGCUUCAUUGCGUGGUGCGGUAUCUAUGACUUUUACUUUGAGGAAAUUAGAGUGUUCACGGCAGGCAAACGCCUUGAAUAUAUUAGCAUGGAAUAAUAACAUAGGAUCUUCGUCCUAUUUUGUUGGUUUCUAGGGCUAAGAUAAUGAUUAAUAGGGAUAAUUGGGGGCAUCUGUAUCAACGCGUCAGAGGUGGAAUUCUUGGAUUGCGUUGCGACAAACUACUGCGAAAGCAUUUGCCAAGGAUGUUUUCAUUGAUCAAGAACGAAAGUAAGGGGAUCGAAGACGAUUAGAUACCGUCGUAGUCUUUACCAUAAACUAUGCCAACUAGGGAUCGGUGGUCGUUCUUUCUAUGACUCCAUCGGCACCUUAUGAGAUAUCAAAGUUUUUGGGUUCCGGGGGGAGUAUGGUCGCAAGGCUGAAACUUAAAGGAAUUGACGGAAGGGCACCACCAGGAGUGGAGCCUGCGGCUUAAUUUGACUCAACACGGGAAAACUCACCAGGUCCAGACAAAGUAAGGAUUGACAGAUUGAUAGCUCUUUCUUGAUUCUUUGGGUGGUGGUGCAUGGCCGUUCUUAGUUGGUGGAGUGAUUUGUCUGCUUAAUUGCGUUAA
rnacentral:rRNA from 1 species